rnacentral:miRNA from 1 species
UCCUUUGCUUUUUUCUGCUUUUCUGCUCAGACCUGCCCCCAUGGGCUCGAGCGAUAGCACAGCGGUAGGGUGUUUC